rnacentral:rRNA from 1 species
CAGUCGCCACGGUAAUACGUAGGUGGCAAGCGUUGUCCGGAAUUAUUGGGCGUAAAGGGCUCGCAGGCGGUUUCUUAAGUCUGAUGUGAAAGCCCCCGGCUCAACCGGGGAGGGUCAUUGGAAACUGGGAAACUUGAGUGCAGAAGAGGAGAGUGGAAUUCCACGUGUAGCGGUGAAAUGCGUAGAGAUGUGGAGGAACACCAGUGGCGAAGGCGACUCUCUGGUCUGUAACUGACGCUGAGGAGCGAAAGCGUGGGGAGCGAACAGGAUUAGAGACCCGCGUAGUCCCUGUCUCUUAUAC